AUUGAACGCUGGCGGCAGGCCUAACACAUGCAAGUCGAGCGAGCGGCGGACGGGUGAGUAAUGUCUGGGAAACUGCCUGAUGGAGGGGGAUAACUACUGGAAACGGUAGCUAAUACCGCAUACUAUCAGAUGAGCCUAGGUCGGAUUAGCUAGUUGGUGAGGUAAUGGCUCACCAAGGCUACGAUCCGUAACUGGUCUGAGAGGAUGAUCAGUCACACUGGAACUGAGACACGGUCCAGACUCCUACGGGAGGCAGCAGUGGGGAAUAUUGGACAAUGGGCGAAAGCCUGAUCCAGCCAUGCCGCGUGUGUGAAGAAGGCCUUCGGGUUGUAAAGCACUUUCAGCGGGGAGGCGUUACCCGCAGAAGAAGCACCGGCUAACUCCGUGCCAGCCGCCGCGGUAAUAC
rnacentral:rRNA from 1 species